GGUAGCAGCGGCCGCAGUAUCAGUAUCCACCUCUACUCUAUAGAAAAGCCCCACGGCUAACGAAAGCAGCGCACAACAUAGCAAACGGUCGAUCGAUCGACCGACCGACCAACCAACCAACCAACCUACUGGUCAGCUGACGACUCUUUGGCCUUGAGCGAGCGCAUCAUCGUCCUCCCUUCAUGGUGUCGUUCUUGAGCUAGUCUACCGUACGCUGCAAAGCGCGCAAGUGGAGUGCUCUCGUGUGCGGGCUCUUAGCUACUCCCAGUGUGAUCUAAUUACGCCAUUGUAGGUCGCCAUACUUGGAUCUCGUGUGGAUACAACAGCAAAGGCUUUGGUUUAUUGACGUCGUAGGGGAACGCGUGUGCCGGAGGAAGUGUUACGAUUAUAACUGCAGUAAGCUACAAAAACAGACUCCACUAACUGGCGUGAAUGAAUAUUGGGGCAAUAGCGGUUAGGUGAGCGCAACAGCUGACGUGGACUUAAAACGAGAUUCAGGCAAAGAAGGCUUCUGCGCUGCGCAGCUGUUAACGAUGACGACUGAAGAUGAAGUUCAGCGGCGGGCUCGAGCUUUCGUCAAAGACCUGCUUAAUGAGGCGAUAAAGGAAGUGAAGAGAUGCAACACUGAACGAGCCAGUUGUAAACGGGACGAGAGUAACUUAGACGAAAAAGAAGCUCCGGUCGAGGGUCACUGGUAUAAACGACUACGUAGUCAACUUUGCACGUGUGUUCGGCCUCAGGAGCACUAGCUAGAUGCUGGUGCGCCCACAUAAAUUAACUAGAGAUAAUUUCUGUCUUAUUUUAAUAACUACAUGCCAAGUGAAUUGUUGUGGGCUUAUGUGAAUAAAGUCGCGUCGAUACUUGCUUUGGAAUAAUAAAAAUGAGCGGAUCUUCUAAAUCGGUACGUUGGAUGCCGUCCUAAGCAUUUCAACACAAACCGAUCUAUUAUGAGUUCCUUACAUGUCGAGCGACAGCCUUAGUAACUUCCCAAUGACAUCCCACAUUGAGCUCAGCUGCGAUCUGCUUUGUUAAAACCCUAGACAUAAAAACAAAAUAAGAAUGGCUAUUUUUCCUAUGUUCACAAUUUACACUUAGCAAAGCCUCAGUUGCCACUCUACCGGGUAUUUGUUAAUACCAGAAGUUACUCUCCAGGAAUUUUCACUAUGCUUAGCUUGCAAAUUACCACACGUUCUAGCUGAACUAUAUCCACCCGUAUGUGGAUGCUGAGAAAUACU
rnacentral:lncRNA from 1 species